rnacentral:lncRNA from 1 species
UUCAACAUCUUCAUCUUAAAAUCGUUUUCUUUAGGUCCAAGUCAAGUGGCUAACUAAGUUUGAAGAGUAGAUAACCAUUUUUUAACAGUAGAUUACUACAUGGCUUAAUUAAUAUAUGUGUGGGAGCGAGAAGUGAGAGAGUAAGAGAGAGAGAGGAGUCAGAGAAGACAGUGGAUGGCGGUAGCGCUGCCGCUCACGGCGGCGGCAGUAGAGACACAGGCGGCGGCGGUCCAGGUUGUUCCGACGAGUGUCAAGGUAACCCCCCUCUCGCUUCCUUUUACCGUACU